rnacentral:rRNA from 1 species
CCUACGGGGAGCAGCAGUAGGGAAUCUUUCACAAUGGGCGAAAGCCUGAUGGAGUAACGCCGCGUGCAGGAUGAAGGCUUUCGGGUUGUAAACUGCUUUUAUAAGCGAGAAAUAUGAUGGUAACUUAUGAAUAAGCAUCGGCUAACUACGUGCCAGCAGCCGCGGUCAUACGUAGGAUCCGAGCAUUAUCCGGAGUGACUGGGUGUAAAGAGUUGCGUAGGUGGCAUAAGAAGUAGCUAGUGAAAUCUGGUGGCUCAACCAUUCAGACUAUUAGCUAAACUGUUAAGCUCGAGAGCGUUAGGGGUAACUGGAAUUUCUAGUGUAGGAGUGAAAUGCGUAGAUAUUAGGAGGAACACCAAUAGCGUAGGCAGGUUACUGGGACGGUUCUGACACUGAGGCACGAAAGCGUAGGGAGCAAACGGGAUUAGAUACCCUUGUAGUC